rnacentral:rRNA from 1 species
GUGGGGAAUCUUGCGCAAUGGGCGAAAGCCUGACGCAGCCAUGCCGCGUGAAUGAUGAAGGUCUUAGGAUUGUAAAAUUCUUUCACCGGGGACGAUAAUGACGGUACCCGGAGAAGAAGCUCCGGCUAACUUCGUGCCAGCAGCCGCAGUAAUACGAAGGGGGCUAGCGUUGUUCGGAUUUACUGGGCGUAAAGGGCGCGUAGGCGGAUAGACAAGUCAGAGGUGAAAGCCCUGGGCUCAACCCGGGAACUGCCUUUGAAACUGUUUGUCUUGAGUAUGGGAGAGGAUGGCGGAAUACCCAGUGUAGAGGUGAAAUUCGUAGAUAUUGGGUAGAACACCAGUGGCGAAGGCGGCCAUCUGGCCCAUAACUGACGCUGAGGCGCGAAAGCGUGGGGAGCAAACAGGAUUAGAAACCCGUGUAGUCC